rnacentral:lncRNA from 10 species
GAAUUCAUCACCACCAUCCAUUUCCAGAACACUUUCCAUCUUGCACACCUGAAACUCUAUACUCAGUAAACAGUAACUCCCCCUUUUUCCUCUCCCCAGCCUCUGACAACCCCCAUCCUACUGUCUGGCUCAGUGAACUUGACUAGGGACCUCCUUGGCCGCACCGUCAUGCGUUCCCAUCAACGGUGAGUGCAGGUGCACUUUUAAGAAAUCCCUGGAAAUAUGACAUCAAAACAAAGGCAGCACAAACGCACACACGCGAGACAGCAUCAGAUUAAACAGCUUCAGCACAGCAAAGGAAACAAGCAGAGGAAAACAAAUAUUUCCUCCGGGCAGGAGAAAAUGUUUCCAGUCAUACAUUGAUAAGGAAUGGACAUCCAGAUACAUGUGGGACUCACCAGCAAGAAAAUAAGGAACUCAAUUUUAAGGCAGGUCAAAGACCUCCACAGAGAUUUCUCCGAAGAAGACAGGAUAAUGGGAAACAGGCAUAUGACAAAAGUGUCCCAUCAGCACUCAUCAGGGAAAUGGAAAUCAAAACCAAAUGGGCUAUUGCCUCACACCUGUUAGGAGGGCAAUUAUGAAAACACAAAAGCCAGCCAGCGUUGGGGAGGAUGUGGACAAGAGGAACCCUGGUGCAGUGUUGGUGGAAAUGUAAAUUAGUACAGCCAUUAUGGAAAACACUAUGGCAGUUCGUCAAAAAAUUAAAAAUACAACUGUCCUAGGAUCCAGCAAUCCCUCUGCUGGGGAGGCACCCAAGGGAAGUGGACUCUGCACCUCGGGGAGACAUCAGCACCCCCGUGUUCACUGCUGCACUGCCCACAACUGCCAAGAUAUGGAAGAGUCCGAUGGCAGAUGAGUGAAUUUUACAUAUGUAGUGUAGAUACACAGCGGAGUACUACUCAGCCAUAGAAAUGAAUGAGAUUCAGGCCAGGCGCGGUGGCUCAUGCUUGUAACCCCGGCACUCUGGGAGGCCAAGGCGGGCAGAUCACCUGAGGUCAGGAGUUCGAGACCAGCCAACAUGGUGAGACCCCAUCUCUACUAAAGGUACAAAAAUCAGCCGGGCGUGGUGGCACAUGCCUGUAAUCCCAGCUACUCAGAGGCUAAGUCAGGAGAAUCGCUUGAACCCGGGAGGCGGAGGUUGCAGUGAGCUGAGAUGGUGCCUGGGUGACAGAGCAAGACUCCGUCUCAAAAAACAAAAAAGAAUGAGAUUCAGUCAUUUGCAACAACCUGGAUGAACGUGGAGGACAUUAUGCCAAGUGAAAUAAGCCAGGCACAGACAGACAGAUACUGCGUGCUCUCACUUACACGUGGACGCUAAAAUUCAAGUUGAACUCAUGAAAUCCAGAGCGGUAGGGUGUUUACCAGGGGCUGGAGGGGGCAGCAGAGACGCCGGCCAGAGAGCACAAAGUUUCAGCUCUAAGAUGAGUAAGUUCUGGAGCUCUGAUGUACAACAUGGUGAUUACAGCUAUUAAUGCAUACUUAAGAACUGGAAAGAGUGGGCUUUAAAUGUUCUCACCACAAAAAAAUGUAAGUAUGUGAGGGAUGGUCGUGCUAAUCGCUUCUCGAGCCAUUUCACAGAGCGCACGCGCGCCGGAAACCAUGUGGAACAUUUUAUGGAGCAUUUUUACCUGUGGAUUUUUAAAAAAUGAAUUAAUUAAAAUUUGAAACCUGAAGUUCCCAGAAGGCAGGGAGUCGGGGGCUGUGAGGCGGGGGGCGGGGGCGGCCCUGUUGGCUGCCCUUACUGGCCGCAGUCUUCCCAAAUUCAGGCUUGAGAGAGGCUGAAAGAGGGCCCUGGAACGUGCAUUCUUCCCAGCACCGAGCCUCCCCUGCAGCUCUGGCGCAGGCAGCAGCCACUCAGGCGUCAUUGGCUAAGAUCAAGAGGAUGUGCCGUCAGUACAGGAGGCGAGAAUGAACCAAGACCCUUGCAGCUCCUCAGACACAGGAAGCGCUUCCAGGCUCGGGGAGUGGGGUCCUCAAGGGAGGGGGGGCAGAGGCAAGGCUGGGGCACCACCAAAUGCCAAGUGCCCCAGUCUGACACUCAGAACCAGCCCAGGAGAAGGGGAAGUUGGCUGAGAACAACCAGGCCCAGCCAAGGCCCCCAGCCUCCGGCCCCGGGACGGUCUCCCUGAAGCUCCUAGCGUACCCCCUUAUUUUCUCCCGGAAAUUGUCCCAUGUCACCUGGCCUAGCCUGCCCUGCCUGCCGGGAGCCUCCCUCUCCUGGGACCCCACCCCCAUCCAGAGGCCCUACCCAGAGCCACGGGGUUGUGAGGGGUGGGUCAGCUUCUCUGGGGGCUCCAGGCCUGGGGUUCAGCGGCGUCCUCCUGCUGGUGGUAGUAGGGGUGCUGGGGGCAUGAGCCUCCUGGACUGAGCGGGGGAACCCAGGGGCAUGCUGGCCAAGGGCAGUCCUGGACAGGGGUCAGCGGGGUUUGGGGGGUGGCAGAGAGGGAGGGCCUGAGCUGUGUGUUGGAUGGUGACACCUCUGGUCAGGUGGAGGAGGGGCGGGAGACAGAGACAGAGACGGAUAGUGAGGGUGGGAGGCACCAGCGGGUUGGAGGCCCCGUCUUCCCAGCCCCUGACGGACCAUCCUGGGAGAUGCCUGGUGUGGUGGGGCCUGGCUCGGGACAGAUGUGCCCUGGGCUGUGAUUGUGGUGAUUCCUGCUGGGUGUAAGGGGCCACCCGGGGAGCCGGCACCCACUCGGGAGGAAUGCACCCUGCCUUAGGACAGGCCCAUCCAAAGAAACAGCGCUUCUCUCUCGGUGGACUUUUUAAGACAAAGAAAUAGGUGCUCAGUGGACCAAGUGAGGAGCGUUUAGAAGGUGGCACCUUGUCCCGCUGCCCUGUGUCCCUCCCUCCCCACUGGGCUGUCGGCUGGUGCCCCCCUCCCUGAAAGAGCACCACGGUUUCAGGGCCCCAAGCUGCGGUGCAGCCUGCUCUCUGGGAUGGCAGCAAGGCUGAGCAUUUCUCCCUCAAUAAUGCCCACCACUCCCAACCUGUCACUCACUCGACCGCUCCCCACAGGCAGACUCCAGGCUGUUUGCAGUUUGCUGAGCCAGGGUCGCGUGCAUUCCAUCUGAUGACAGGCAAUGUCAGGUUAUUCUCCCAAAAGGCCCUGGCAGGUUACCCCACACCCAAUCCUUGCUGAUGUCACCUUUGCCAGCUCCCUCCGGGGACCUCUGAGACGUUUCUCCAGGACAAGGAACAGCACGAACAUGUCAGCCUGCGUGGAUGAAACCGGGAAGAUGGCCGCGAGCCGUGUGCCCACACAGGAGUGUGGCCAUGGCUGUCGGUGUGAGGCUGUAGCUCUGUGGAAAACGCAGACCACACAGUACAGAGGCGAGGCCGUCUCCAGAGCUGGCAUCAUCAAUGUGGCUACCAUCGGGCAAGGCCAGAAGAAAAUACGGAAAAUAGGAAAAUCGCUGCUGGACUCAUGUCCUUGGGCCUUCAGCAAAUUUUCUCCUUUAAAAAUUUCCUUUAAUACUGUGUAAUGUUGCUUUUGCGAAAAUAAAAUUCCCGGGACAAAAAGAGGAGGCAGAGAGAAAGACAGAGGCAGAGAGAGAGAGAGGGAGAGACAGAGCCCACAGUCCACCCGCAGCCCGCAGCCCGCAGCCCGAAGCCCGCAGCCCGUGGGGGAAGAGGAGGGCGCCUGCAGGCAGCAGGGGGAAGGCUGCAGAUGGGGCUGGACCUGAGGAGGGGCUGGGGCAUGGGAUUCUCUGAGCCCAGAACGUGGAGAAUGCCUCGCUGCAGACAUGACCGGGGGCUGUGCAGGACACAGACGGCCACAGAAGCCAGGGUGUGGCCGGGGCUAGGCCUGCCCUGAAGGCUGCCGAGGCGGAGUAGGUGACGGUGGGGUGAGGACUUGAGAAGCAGGGGACACUUUUUCCAGAGGAAGCUGCUCUCCCAGGGGUGCCUCAGUGGAGCAGAGCGAAUGGAGCGAACAGACUGAAUUCACGGCAUUUUAGGACGGGGGACCUGGUGUGGGGGCUUGGAUGGAAAGACAGGGAACAGGAUAAGCCCUGGGAAGGAAAGGGGGAUGUGGCUGCCUCUUCAGGGGCCGGGGUGGGCGUCUGCCCAGGAGGGCAGCGGAGGAGGGGAGGGCAGUGCGGGUAGGGAGGGGAGGUGGCCCCACAGACGCUGGGAGUGCCCAGGUUUUCUGACAACCUCAGCCGCUUGGCUAGAGCGUCUGGAAGGAUUUGCGGGGAGCAUGUCUGGGGGAAUCGAGGCUCUGUGACGGGUGACGGCACAAAGGGGCCCAGCAGGCCUGGCUCCAGCGCCAGCCAGAGGAGUGGCCGGGGGAUGAGAGAGCCCAGGAAGGCACCCCAGGGAGGUGCAGCACGCGCCGCCGACUCAGCCCUGGGCCCCGUACGCAGGAGCCACCCCCUUCCUGCAGAUGGAACAAACCAUCUGGGGUCAGGAAAUUGAGCUGGCUCUUCUAAUCUCCUCUAGAGCUCCACGUUCCUGGGGUUUAAGUAGAACAUCCAGGCCUCUCAGUGAGCCAGAAAAGCCCAUUUCUACCUUGUGAUGGGGAAGAUGAAAAUUCUGUGAGUCUCCUACGUGGGAAAGGGUCCGGCUUGCCUGCAGGAUGCUGACUGCGUGGCACCUAAACACAGAAAGUUCUGGAAGAUUCCUUGCCCCUGUGUAGGCUUAAAUAUCGUUCACUAGCUCUGACAGUCCACCCAGGCCCUGGGCAACAUGUUCCAGGGCAGAGCAGGUUGGCACAAGAUGGACAUGGUCAUGGUGCCUUCCACGGUCACGGGACCCUGGGGACAGCAGACACCGCCCAAGAAGGAAUCUCAGGGACCUGUGGGCAUCCCUGUUUUUGUGCCUCUGGGUUCUAUCACCUGACUUCCCCCAACAAUGAGCUCUGCACAUGGCCAGGGAUCUCUGCACACGUCCAGGGAGCUCUGCACAUGGUCAGCCAGCUCUGCACACGGCCAGGAACUCUGCACACCAUCAGGGAUCUCUGCACACAGCCAGGAACUCUGCACACGGUCAGCGAGCUCUGCACACAGCCAGGGAGCUCUGCACAUUGUCAGGGAACUUUGAAAGGGCUGGGCAGGUCACCUUCCUUUCACCCCCAAGUGAGUGAGGCUGCAAUGGGGUGUCCAUGUCCUUGGACAAAGCUCCAAAGCUUCUAGCUUCUCUGAAGCUCACAGAGGUGUCAGCUUGGUGGGGAAGGUGCCAAGGCAGGGCCCUGGAGAUGGGGACAGGGACUGCCCACUUCCAUUUGCCAAAGUCUCAGCAAAUGAAACAUGAGGGAAUGAAUGCUCAAAGAGGGCUGCAAACAAUCGCCAACAAGGUAAAUGAUUACAUUUAACGCUUUUACUGUAAACACUCUCAAUGCAAUAUAAUCUUGCUAGUCAUGCUGGGUGGGCCGGGAUGAGAGUUAGCAGAAGACCUGAUGGGUCUGUGCCUCGGCGGGUCCGGACUGCAUGCACAGUUGUAUUGGAAGCUAAGAUAAUCACUCACCUAACACGAGGCCCUUCCAGAAUGUGAGGUCUCAGCCAAGUGAACCCUGUGAACACCUCCACCCCCAGACCCGCGGGGAGGCUCAGGAGCCAGGCAGACCGAGGCAGUUCCAGAAGCCCUUGGGCUGGCAGACGUUUGCCUCUUUGUAAGUAAGAGUGUAUGCAGAAGACCUCACAAGCAGAUCACCAGUGAAAUUCAGAUGACCCUUCUAGAGAGGCUGUGGGCAGCCAAGGCCCCAGGUGUGGACAGGGCUGCUGCUCUCCAGGUGCUGGGGGCCCCAGCAUGUCUCUUCCUACAGCUCCAUGUGCCUUUGCCACGGAGCCACCGGCAUUCAGUGGCCUCUUCCCCACUUGGCUGCUAUGUGUCCCCUGGAACUCAGGGCACUCCAGGUGUCCUCAGGUCAUGUCUCAGAGCUCAGGGCCAUCUCGCCAGGCAGGGAAGUCCAGAUUCCAAUUUUUUCUACCCCACACCUAAUCUCUAACAGCAGGCUCUGAACACACAGGAAUCAGUUGGUGGCUUCUAAAGAGAACAUGAUACCGUCAUGUAGCUGCCUGUCCAGACGCUGAAGCCUGUGCUUUCACCGGACCCUAGUGCUUGUGAAUGACGACCUCUGUUCUCCUGGGUCAAAACUUCCUUCACCACCGUCAAGAAGGCCACCCUUUGUCGGCGGGUUAAAUGCAGUGUUAUUUACAUAUGGUUUAUCUGGGCAUCUAUAAUCCCAGGGCGAGAGCCCACCAUCCACCAGCAUUUUGGAAGAACGCCUGAGACCUGAGACCUGAGACCUGGUGCAAUGGAAUCAGAUUCCCUGGUAGCUGCUUUUAAUGGUGACAGAUUCUCUGAAACAGAAAAAGAUUGAAUUGAGUCUGUCUCCCUGGAGUCGUCCUGCUCUGGGAGAUGCAGAGGGAGGGCGGCAGGAGGGAGGACAGUGGGAGGCCUCUGUUGGUCAAUUGCUAGGCUGCUGUCACCAGAUGGUGGAUGGCGUUUGUACAGCACUGGCCAAGGGCCCAGCUCAGCAGGGCCAGAGCCUCAGGUCAUGUCGCAGGUGAGCAAAGCAGCGUGGAUGGAAGACGAAGAUCUUCGUCCCACGGAGGGCUUGCUGUGCGCCCCGCAGGACGCAGAUCACCGGGAAGAGCAGGAAGCAGAAGCGCAGGAAAGCCAAUGCUGUGACUGAGGCGUGGCCAGCAAGCCAGGCCCUCCAGCCACACCCUGCUCCAAAGGGGCUCCGACAGGAUGGACUGAUGAUUUCCAAGAGAGAACAUGCUUUUUAUCUUCUAUGGAAUUUUGCUACCAAAGAGCCUCCCAGCUACCUGUGCCCUUCCCUAACCUGACAAUCUUAAUUCCCCCAUGAAACUCCUCCAUCGCGGACAUUUGGACAACUCCAGGCUGAGUUUUUCCUAAGGCCACUCUGGCCUUGUGCGUCUCUUCUUUGCUAAGCUGUGUGCCAGCCGCCAGCCCACAUCUGGGUUGUACCAUGAUCCUAACUCCUCACCUGAACACAGCAUUUAACAGACUGAAACGUGCCACUCUGGAGCUGGGGACUUCAAGCCACAUUUCGCCUGCAGCCCGAUCGCCUUCAAUCUUUAGCAAAAUCCUCUUUCUCAUGCAAAACAGUGCAGUCGUAACUUUUAAAAUAUUUUUUAGAAACUUUCUCUAGAGCCUCCACCACAUGGCCACAGCCUGAGACUUUGAAAUAAUGAAACAAUUAAAUGAUGUUUUCAUCAUUUCUGAGACUUGCCCAUUAUCACGAAGCUGAAAUGGCCAUUUUUUUAUAAGUCAAGGAAGGACAGGCAGUUUCAAAUGAGUUGGCUAAGACAUACGCCAAAUUCAUAGAAAAUAGAAAUGAACUAUGACUACAGAAUGGAAGCAACCACAGAAAUAUUAGCAGGAUUUUAAGUAUUAUCCCAAUCAAGUACUAAUAGCUAAGUGAGGUCAUUUUUUGGAUACCAUUCCUGGUCAAAGCUAGGAAUGAUGUGUGUUCCAGGCUGGACCCUCCAGGCAGAGGCACCGGGAUCCCACGCUGUUUCUGGGUUGGCCAUUAACCUGCCCCUUGACCUGACAGCGUUUCUCUCUCUUCUCUCUCUACACUUCUCUUCUGAUCUUUAGAUCGAUUUUCCUCCAAGUGACAAUGUCCAUAAAGAGAGAGGGAGGUGGAAAUACAGGCUGUCACAUUUCAGCUCUUUGAGGUGCCUCUAAAGAUGAUGUCAGAGAACAGUAAGUGGCCCACAAAUGUGCAGCAUCUGUUCCGAGCCUCCUGAAGCCGCCCGGACAGGCAGCAGUACGACCCUGCAAGGCCACAGGGGAGCCAGGGGGUUCUCGCUUUCUUUUUCUUUUAAUUAUUUCCUCUCAAAAAAGAAAAAAAAAAAAGAAAAGAAAGAAAAAAAGCCCUGCUGGGAUAGAACUUAUUGAGUUCAGAAUGUUCCAGGGCACAUAAUCAGGCUGCCCUUGUUCCAAGACACUGCUGUGCUCUGUAGCUGACCCCCGAGUCCUCUAGGGCAAGAGUAAGGACACAGUCGGCUCCCGAAAGCUGGUGCAGAUGGACCCCACCACGCAGGGCCUGGAGUUGGGCCAGACCUGCAGACCCCCUUGAUGGCCUGCGGCAGGACCCUUCACCUGGGUCAAGGCCUCCUGGUGCUCCUAGGGGCCUCUUGAGGAGCCUGGGCACCAGCAUUUGCCUUUGAGGACAGGACUGAGGGCCUGCAUUUUGCACGAAUGUACCUGAAAUGUUUGCUCUGGAUUUACCUUUCCAAUGGUGCCUAUGCAGGAAUCCCAAAGAAUGCCUGGUGGGGUCUGAGGCGGGUCUCAGGCCGGGAGCCCUCCACAGGCAGCAAUAUUUGGCUAGAAUUUAAUGCCAUUUUGUUUCUUUUUAUCUAUUUUUAUGGUGACCUCUUUGUGGUAAUUGACACUGACUUUUUAAAAAAUAAACUUAC